GAUGAACGCUGGCGGCGUGCCUAAUACAUGCGAGUCGAGCGAACAGACGAGGAGCUUGCUCCUCUGACGUUAGCGGCGGACGGGUGAGUAACACGUGGAUAACCUACCUAUAAUACUGGGAUAACUUCGGGAAACCGGAGCUAAUACCGGAUAAUAUAUUGAACCGCAUGGUUCAAUAGUGAAAGACGGUUUUGCUGUCACUUAUAGAUGGAUCCGCGCCGCAUUAGCUAGUUGGUAAGGUAACGGCUUACCAAGGCAACGAUGCGUAGCCGACCUGAGAGGGUGAUCGGCCACACUGGAACUGAGACACGGUCCAGACUCCUACGGGAGGCAGCAGUAGGGAAUCUUCCGCAAUGGGCGAAAGCCUGACGGAGCAACGCCGCGUGAGUGAUGAAGGUCUUCGGAUCGUAAAACUCUGUUAUUAGGGAAGAACAAAUGUGUAAGUAACUAUGCACGUCUUGACGGUACCUAAUCAGAAAGCCACGGCUAACUACGUG
rnacentral:rRNA from 1 species